rnacentral:lncRNA from 1 species
GGCGCACAUGUGAGGUUUCUUCUUAGAGGCUUUGCCUAGGGUUUGUGUUUUUCUUUUCAUUUUGGGCAUGUAUCAUAGGGUUAGUGGUAGUUUGGUGGAAUCAUUAUUUUUCUUUGUUGUCGACUUUGUUUGGCUUUUUUGCCUGGUGGCUCUCUAAUAAUAUAUAGUUGUGUGCAUCAGUCUAUGCAGAUGCUGGGGGUCAUCCUCCUUUUCA